GACUUUCCUCCUGUGAGCCAAUGAGGCCAGCUGGACUACGCCGAGACAACUGGGAGAGGCGCGGGACUCGCCCGUUCCGCGGAACGCCGGGAAGGGGUCACCUCCUGAUGAAGUUUCCGGUUCCGGUGUCAGCGGCGGUUGAAUUGCCAUGGCAAUGCGGUGGGCGCGCGCUUGUCGUGUUGGUCUCUUGGGAGGUAGCGGGGCUAGGCCGGGCGGGUAUCCGCCUCUCCCAGCUUAGGUGAGCGUCCCCGGGCGCCUCCGGAGCGCCGCGGCCGCAUGCAGUUCGUCGUGGCGGGGAGCCGGAGCCUGACCGGGGUUCCAGCGCUCGGGCCGUAGCCUUGGCUCCUGGACUUUCCCUGGCUCCGCCGCCACGUGGGAGCUGAGGCUCUGGGGCUUCCGCCUCCGGCGCGCGAUUAUUUCUCUAGAACAGUUUUCAUUUUUAAAAUUUGUAAAGCGCUUUUGCCUGUGUGAUUUCCUCUGGGUUUUUUUUUUUUUUCUUCCUUUUUGUAGAGACGGAAUUGGCGGCGGGGGCGGGGGGUCGAUGUCUCACUUUUUUGCCCAGGCUGGUCUCGAACUCCUGGCUUCAAGGGAUCCUCCUGCCUCGGCCUCUUAAAGUGCUGGGAUUACAGGCGUGAGCCACCGCCCCCGGCCGCCUCUGAGUUUCCAGCCUCGUUGGCCCUCCAGCCUUUUAACCUGUUGGGCCUAGGAUCAGGAAAGAUUCAUUGAUUCCAGGUAAAUCAGAGGAACAAGCAACAUGAACAGAAAUAUGUAGAAAAAGCUAUUAUGCAGAAGCAUAAUUGUUGUUUCAGAAGUCCAGCAUCUGGUGCACUUAACAAUAGAGAAUAUAUUAAACUCUUUCCAAAAUAACCUGUUGUUCCUACCUGUGUUGUAAGUGUUUUGUUUGUUUUUAAGUAAAUAUUGGUGAUUUGUUGCCA
rnacentral:lncRNA from 1 species